rnacentral:misc_RNA from 1 species
GAUGAAGAACGCAGCGAAAUGCGAUACGUAAUGUGAAUUGCAAAUUCAGUGAAUCAUCGAGUCUUUGAACGCACAUUGCGCCCCCUGGUAUUCCGGGGGGCAUGCCUGUCCGAGCGUCAUUGCUGCCCUCAAGCACGGCUUGGGUGUUGGGCCCCGUCCUCCGAUCCCGGGGGACGGGCCCGAAAGGCAGCGGCGGCACCGCGUCCGGUCCUCGAGCGUAUGGGGCUUUGUCACCCGCUCUGUAGGCCCGGCCGGCGCUUGCCGAUCAACCCAAAUUUUUAUCCAGGUUGACCUCGGAUCAGGUAGGGAUACCCGCUGAACUUAAGCAUAUCAAUAAGCGGAGGA